UACUGGGAGUACAGGAGCACACACACCAGC
rnacentral:piRNA from 1 species